rnacentral:rRNA from 1 species
UACGUAGGGUGCAAGCGUUAUCCGGAAUUAUUGGGCGUAAAGAGCUCGUAGGCGGUUUGUCGCGUCUGCUGUGAAAACUGGGGGCUCAACCCCCAGCCUGCAGUGGGUACGGGCAGACUAGAGUGCGGGAGGGGAGAGUGGAAUUCCUGGUGUAGCGGUGGAAUGCGCAGAUAUCAGGAGGAACACCGAUGGCGAAGGCAGAUCUCUGGGCCGUAACUGACGCUGAGGCACGAAAGCGUGGGGAGCGAACAGG